rnacentral:rRNA from 1 species
UACGAAGGGGGCUAGCGUUGCUCGGAAUUACUGGGCGUAAAGCGCACGUAGGCGGCUUUCUAAGUCGGGGGUGAAAUCCUGGAGCUCAACUCCAGAACUGCCUUCGAUACUGGAGAGCUCGAGUCCGGGAGAGGUGAGUGGAACUGCGGGUGUAGAGGUGAAAUUCGUAGAUAUUCGGAAGAACACCCGUGGCGAAGGCGACUUACUGGACGGUUGUUGACGCUGAGGUGCGAAAGCGUGGGGAGCAAACAGG